rnacentral:rRNA from 1 species
GUCUCCUGAAGGAACGUUGAAGACGACGACGUUGAUAGGCCGGGUGUGUAAGCGCAGCGAUGCGUUGAGCUGACCGGUACUAAUGAACCGUGAGGCUUAACCUUACAACGCCGAAG